GACGUCACUGAUGAUUUUGUUAAAGAUAGAUAGACCUCAGGGGAUGACGGCUGCAAUUGUCAUGUGUGCUCCCAUUCAUAUCUUUUAGAGAAGGCGUAUGUUUCGUUUCUUGUACUGUAGUCACGGAAGAUAUUUACACUUGUACUACACGGUGGAGAGAGACAACAGUAUAUGUAAAGUGCUUUGCAUAAGGACACAAGCGAAAUACAUAGCGAGAGAUUGAACCUCCGACUACAAGGUUCAGGUUCAGAAGCAGAACCGCAACCGCUACGCCAAACCGUUCCUACAUAUAUUUACUGAUUCAGAAAUAAUACCGUACUGAAUUCCGAUGUAUAAUUUGGAGAUAAGGAACUGGUGAGGUGGAGCAGUGAAGUAGUUGACCCCAACUACAGAUGUUCAAAAUGCCAUGGUGUGAAUCUUACAUUAUAUAUUGACAUAAUGAAACAUGUGAACCGUUACAUUGGAACCUAGAUCAAACGAUAGCCUAAUGCUGUUGACGCGCUUGUGCCAGUGCACACGAUACUUAAGGGUGUUGUGAAGAUAUACCGGUACUCAAUAUCCAAUUUAAUCAAUAUACUAUAAGUUUACUUAUAUAUAGGUGAUUGAAAUAAUAUUACACCUUUAUUUGUAUAGGCUUGUAAAAACAUGAGACAUACAUACC